AUGCUCACAGGAUCACUCGAAGCACAUAAAGUUCCACCCCCUUCUAUCCAAUACCGCGGAGAGCUUGAGAAGUACUGUCACUGGGGCAAUGAAGUGAAGCUCUAUCGACACGAUGCAAACAAAGCUCUCAAGCACAUGAAGAGCAUCGACAGUAAAGUGCUGCGGGACAUAAGCUACGACAAGAUGCAGCUACUCCAACAAAAGUGUGAAACUCUUAAGCAUCAGCAGAAAGAAAAGGACAACCUAAUAGACUAUUUUAGCAACAGCUGGAGCCAUAGCCUCAGUGGAGAUCACAUGGCAGCAAAGGAGCUUUACCGUAUAAUAGAUAGCAACUUCACGGCUGGAUCAACAUGCAAAGACAAUGAUCUGAAUCAUAUAUUGUCGCAGGUAAGAUAUGUUGCUGAUUGUCUCACUAAUACAGCCACGCAAUCAGAGUAUGAACUCCAACAAACAAACAAGUACUACUAG
rnacentral:rRNA from 1 species